rnacentral:rRNA from 1 species
AUUGAACGCUGGCGGCAUGCCUUACACAUGCAAGUCGAACGGCAGCGCGGGAGCAAUCCUGGCGGCGAGUGGCGAACGGGUGAGUAAUAUAUCGGAACGUGCCCAGUAGUGGGGGAUAGCCCGGCGAAAGCCGGAUUAAUACCGCAUGAGACCUGAGGGUGAAAGCGGGGGAUCGCAAGACCUCGCGCUACUGGAGCGGCCGAUAUCAGAUUAGCUAGUUGGUGGGGUAAAGGCCUACCAAGGCAACGAUCUGUAGUUGGUCUGAGAGGACGACCAGCCACACUGGGACUGAGACACGGCCCAGACUCCUACGGGAGGCAGCAGUGGGGAAUUUUGGACAAUGGGCGCAAGCCUGAUCCAGCAAUGCCGCGUGCAGGAAGAA